GCCUCAGCGCCGAAUGUUCCAGCACUACCCAGAGGCGGGAGCGCCCUCAGGGGGCGGGGAGGCGGGAACGCGGGAACCUGUGGGCCGGGGCGUUGCUGUCAACCUGGGCGAGUCCAGGCCCAGAUCGUCGAAAGGCAAGGCUGGCGGUGGAGAUUUGUGUGCAGCCUUUUACUCAAGGGUUUUACCGUCGUGGUGGUCGUCUCAGUGGACUUCGCAAGUCUGUUUUCGAGGUGAUUUGAGGACAAGACCACUGAUUUGGAAAGACAUCACACUUUUAAAAAAUCAUAAUGAAGAUGUAAAAACAAAGCGGGAAACUUACUGCAUCAGACUGUGCUCGAAGGUCUUCAAAAAGCUGCUGGUACUUCAGAGUUGGUGUUUUACCCUUUGACUGGAUAAGUUUCCUUAAGGCUUGAGCCAACUCUUCUCUCCGUUUACGAGCUGUUGCGCUCAUUCCUUGUAAAACAAAAGACAUGGAUGAAGUAGGACAGGGCCAGUGACAUUUACAAAUUACCAAUGCCCUGCAGCAGCCAAGCUUUACCACCACAGAAACACAGACCUGUAGUGAGAAUGGAUAUGUCCACAAUUCCUGUCCUUGGAUCAGUGGCAGAUUGUUUCAGUGCUUCCCGAUGAAGGCGCUUGGCUUCUUCUACAUCAACAGUUUCCACUUUCUCAGAGAAGCGUACUUUAGCAUGGGCUUCUGCCAGGCGGAUCAGAGACUCGAGCUGUCGAGGGUAUGCAGAAACCAUUCCCCUCCCACUGCCAAUCUUCCUCAUGUCCACAUAUGCCUGAAAAAUGAGUCAUGAAGUAUUUCAAUAAACCCUCUAUUAUUCAUUA